AUGCCGGAAACAAAUGGUGGUGGCCUGUGCACGUGGUUAUUUGCAGAAGCUCGUCGGGUGGGCUGGCGCAAGUUAAUGGGGACUCUUUCUCAGGCCUUAAGUUGAGCAACAACAGAAGAGUCUAUCAAAAAAUUGAUGUUAGCAAAUCUAACACAAAAAUGCUGAGUAUACAAUGAAGUUGAUGAGAGCAAUCCAGGAGAGUGUGGUUAUUAGGACUAAUGGAGAGUGAAUAUCCAGAUUUCAGCAUUGAAGAGAAGUUAAAUGCUUUUGUUGCGUUGAUUGAUCUACUCAGAGUUGGUUCCAGUAUUAAAAUGGAGUUGUUGAACUGAGGAGGGUAACCUUCGAGUCACGGUCAAACACGGAUUCACUUUGCACGGUGAGAACAUCUACAUUCUAAUGUAGCUCUUUUCCAUUCCUACUUCAAUCUUAGAAAAGAAACAGGAUUAAUAAACAAACUUAUUUUUUCAUUUAUUUGUGUUGUUUACUAACCAUUCAUUUCCUUUUGCUUACAGCCUAUUGCCAUGAGCCAAUGAAGUUCAUUCCAUUGGGUAGAGUUGUUUUAAAUUUAUGAGAUGAGCUUCUGAUUGAUAAUUUUUAUG